UACGUAGGGACCAAGCGUUGUUCGGAUUUACUGGGCGUAAAGGGCGCGUAGGCGGCGUGGUAAGUCACUUGUGAAAUCUCUGAGCUUAACUCAGAACGGCCAAGUGAUACUGCUGUGCUAGAGUGCAGAAGGGGCAAUCGGAAUUCUUGGUGUAGCGGUGAAAUGCGUAGAUAUCAAGAGGAACACCUGAGGUGAAGACGGGUUGCUGGGCUGAUACUGACGCUGAGGCGCGAAAGCUAGGGUAGCAAACGGG
rnacentral:rRNA from 1 species